rnacentral:rRNA from 1 species
GAUGAACGCUGGCGGCGUGCCUAAUACAUGCAAGUCGAGCGAACAGACGAGGAGCUUGCUCCUCUGACGUUAGCGGCGGACGGGUGAGUAACACGUGGAUAACCUACCUAUAAGACUGGGAUAACUUCGGGAAACCGGAGCUAAUACCGGAUAAUAUAUUGAACCGCAUGGUUCAAUAGUGAAAGACGGUUUUGCUGUCACUUAUAGAUGGAUCCGCGCCGCAUUAGCUAGUUGGUAAGGUAACGGCUUACCAAGGCAACGAUGCGUAGCCGACCUGAGAGGGUGCACGGCCAACCGGGAACGGACACCCGCCCCCGACUCCUACGGGAGGCGGCAGUGGGAACUCUUCCGAAAGGGGCGAAAGCCGGCAGGAGCACCGCCGGGUGAGGGAUAAAGGUUUUCGGAUCUUAAAACUCUUUUAUUAGGGAAGAAAAAAUGUGAAAGUACCUAUGCACGUCUUGAGGUUACCUAAUCAGAAGGCCCCGGCUAACUACGUG